rnacentral:ncRNA from 2 species
UCAAAGCCGUCUGGAGAGCCAUCGCCCCGCGCGAUGCACCGAAGGAGCAAGUCCGCUGCGGGCGCAGCGGAUGAAUCUCUCAGGUACCGAGGACAGGGGGAGCGGC